UACGAAGGGGGCUAGCGUUGCUCGGAAUCACUGGGCGUAAAGCGCACGUAGGCGGAUUGCUAAGUCAGGGGUGAAAUCCUGGAGCUCAACUCCAGAACUGCCCUUUGAUACUGGCGACUGAGUCCGGGAGAGGUGAGUGGAACUGCGAGUGUAGAGGUGAAAUUCGUAGAUAUUCGCAAGAACACCAGUGGCGAAGGCGGCUCACUGGCCCGGUACUGACG
rnacentral:rRNA from 1 species